CCAAUAGCGUAUAUUAAAGUUGUUGCAGUUAAAAAGCUCGUAGUUGAAUUUCAGGCCUGGCUGGACGGUCCGCCUUUUGGGUGAGUACUGUCUGUGGUCGGGUCCUACCUUCUGGCGAAGCGUCAUGGCCUUAACCGGCCGUGGCGGGGAACCAGGACUUUUACUGUGAAAAAAUGAGAGUGUUCAAAGCAGGCAGUCGCUUGAAUACAUUCGCAUGGACAAAUGGCAUAGGACAAUGGUUCUAUUUGUUGGUUUCUAGGACCGUUGUAAUGAUUAAUAGGGAUAGUUGGGGGCAUUAGUAUUCAAUUGUCAGAGGUGAAAUUCUUGGAUUUAUUGAAGACUAACUACUGCGAAAGCAUUUGCCAAGGAUGUUUUCAUUAAUCAAGAACGAAAGUUAGGGGAUCGAAGACGAUCAGAUACCGUCGUAGUCUUAACCAUAAACUAUGCCGACUAGGAAUCGGGCGAUGUUGACAAAAUGACGCGCUCGGCACCUCAUG
rnacentral:rRNA from 1 species